rnacentral:lncRNA from 1 species
UUUCUAAUCUUAAAGUAAUACUGUUGCCCGUAGCAGGUAUCAAUCAUUUUUCUCCUCAUGAGGUGGGAGUAAAUCCCUCGGCCAAUCUCUCCCAAGAUUGAUUACAAUGGGCAUAAAACUACUUGACAGUAUGGGCUGGUAAGGGAGGAAGCAUGGAUAAAUUCAUUGAACAACGUUUAGAUUGGUGACUUGGCUAGGCUCGCUUGACAGUUUCUCCGUCCCUUUGAAUGCGCCCCUGGCACAAAUGGCCGUAGAAGAGGAUGCUGUGCCUAAGGGAAAUGAUUCUAGCAUUGAAACAUUAAUAACGAGGAUUGCGGUCCCCCGACACCUUAGGGACGAUAGGCUGCACAAUCAUAUCCCUAGAAGGAACAUAUAUUUACCCUUGCA